rnacentral:rRNA from 1 species
AAAAGCGGAGGAAAAGAAACUAACAAGGAUUCCCCUAGUAGCGGCGAGCGAAGCGGGAAGAGCUCAAAUUUAUAAUCUGGCACCUUCGGUGUCCGAGUUGUAAUCUCUAGAAAUGUUUUCCGCGUUGGACCGCACACAAGUCUGUUGGAAUACAGCGGCAUAGUGGUGAGACCCCCGUAUAUGGUGCGGACGCCCAGCGCUUUGUGAUACAUUUUCGAAGAGUCGAGUUGUUUGGGAAUGCAGCUCAAAUUGGGUGGUAAAUUCCAUCUAAAGCUAAAUAUUGGCGAGAGACCGAUAGCGAACAAGUACCGUGAGGGAAAGAUGAAAAGCACUUUGGAAAGAGAGUUAACAGUACGUGAAAUUGUUGGAAGGGAAACGCUUGAAGUCAGACUUGCUUGCCGAGCAAUCGGUUUGCAGGCCAGCAUCAGUUUUCCGGGAUGGAUAAUGGUAGAGAGAAGGUAGCAGUUUCGGCUGUGUUAUAGCUCUCUGCUGGAUACAUCUUGGGGGACUGAGGAACGCAGUGUGCCUUUGGCGGGGGUUUCGACCUCUUCACACUUAGGAUGCUGGUGGAAUGGCUUUAAACGACCCGUCUUGAAACAACGGACCCA